CCCUUAGAUGUUCUGGGCCGCACGCGCGCUACACUGAUGCAUUCAACGAGUCUCUUCCUGGUCCGAGAGGAAUGGGUAACCUUUUGAAAGUGCAUCGUGAUAGGGAUAGACUAUUGCAAUUAUUGGUCUUCAACGAGGAAUUCCUAGUAGACGUAGUUCAUCAGACUGCAUCGAUUACGUCCCUGCCCUUUGUACACACCGCCCGUCGCUCCUACCGAUUGAAUGCUCAGGUGAGCCAUUCGGACUCUCAUCAUGCUGGUUUCCAGUUUUGAUGAAGGAAAGUCUUGCGAACCUUAUCAUUUAGAGGAAGGAGAAGUCGUAACA
rnacentral:rRNA from 1 species